rnacentral:rRNA from 1 species
GACGAACCGUGCGAACGUUGUUCGGAAUCACUGGGCUUAAAGGGCGCGUAGGCGGGCCGCCAAGUCCGGGGUGAAAGCUUCCGGCUUAACCGGAAAAGGGCCUUGGAUACUGGCGGUCUGGAGGGAGGUAGGGGUCUGCGGAACUGCUGGUGGAGCGGUGAAAUGCGUUGAUAUCGAUAGGAACUCCGGUGGCGAAGGCGGCAUACUGGACCACUUCUGACGCUGAGGCGCGAAAGCCAGGGGAGCAAACGGG